rnacentral:rRNA from 1 species
UACGUAGGGGGCAAGCGUUGUCCGGAUUUAUUGGGCGUAAAGAGCGUGUAGGCGGCUAGGUAGGUCCGUUGUGAAAACUCGAGGCUCAACCUCGAGACGCCGGUGGAAACCAUCUAGCUAGAGUCCGGAAGAGGAGAGUGGAAUUCCUGGUGUAGCGGUGAAAUGCGCAGAUAUCAGGAGGAACACCGAUGGCGAAGGCAGGUCUCUGGGCCACUACUGACGCUGAGAAGCGAAAGCGUGGGGAGCGAGCAGG